GAUGAAGAACGCAGCGAAAUGCGAAAAGUAAUGUGAAUUGCAGAAUUCAGUGAAUCAUCGAAUCUUUGAACGCACAUUGCGCCCACCAGUAUUCUGGCGGGCAUGCCUGUCUGAGCGUCAUUUCAACCCUCACGCCCCUAGGGCGUGGUGUUGGGGAUCGGCCAAGGCCCGCAAGGGACGGCCGGCCCCUAAAUCUAGUGGCGGACCCAUCGUGGCCUCCCCUGCGAAGUAGUAAUAUAUUCCGCAUCGGAUAGCGAUGAGCCCCUGCCGUUAAACCCCCACCUCUUUCAAGGUUGACCUCAGAUCAGGUAGGAAUACCCGCUGAACUUAAGCAUAUCAAUAAGCGGAGGA
rnacentral:misc_RNA from 1 species